UACGAAGGGGGCUAGCGUUGCUCGGAAUCACUGGGCGUAAAGCGCACGUAGGCGGCUUUCUAAGUCAGGGGUGAAAUCCUGGAGCUCAACUCCAGAACUGCCUUUGAUACUGGAGAGCUUGAGUCCGGGGAGAGGUGAGUGGAACUCCGAGUGUAGAGGUGAAAUUCGUAGAUAUUCGGAAGAACACCAGUGGCGAAGGCGGCUCACUGGCCCGGGUACUGACGCUGAGGAGCGAAAGUGUGGGGAGCGAACAGG
rnacentral:rRNA from 1 species